rnacentral:rRNA from 1 species
AUUGAACGCUGGCGGCAGGCCUAACACAUGCAAGUCGAACGAGUGGCGGACGGGUGAGUAAUGUCUGGGAAACUGCCCGAUGGAGGGGGAUAACUACUGGAAAAGGUAGCUAAUACCGCAUACCAUCGGAUGUGCCCCGAUGGGAUUGGCGAGUAGGGGGGGUAACGGCUCACCUCGGCGACGAUCCCUAGCGGGUCUGAGAGGAUGACCAGCAACACGGGAACUGAGACACGGUCCAGACUCCUACGGGAGGCAGCAGUGGGGAAUAUUGCACAAUGGGCGCAAGCCUGAUGCAGCCAUGCCGCGUGUAUGAAGAAGGCCUUCGGGUUGUAAAGUACUUUCAGCGAGGAGGCGUUACUCGCAGAAGAAGCACCGGCUAACUCCGUGCCAGCAGCCGCGGUAAUUC